AGGCCCUUCCUUUCCCUCAAAUGGCUGCGGUGCCGGGGUGGCCAUUUGAGGGGCAGGAAGGGCCAGAGGAGGUGGCUCUGGCCUUCCCCACUGCCCUGCAGGCUCAGGAGGCAGUGUGGUGGCAGAGGAGCCUGCUGG